rnacentral:rRNA from 1 species
UACGUAGGGUGCAAGCGUUAAUCGGAAUUACUGGGCGUAAAGCGUGCGCAGGCGGUUUUGUAAGUCUGUCGUGAAAUCCCCGGGCUCGACCUGGGAAUUGCGAUGGAGACUGCAAGGCUAGAAUCUGGCAGAGGGGGGGUAGAAUUCCACGUGUAGCAGUGAAAUGCGUAGAGAUGUGGAGGAACACCGAUGGCGAAGGCAGCCCCCUGGGUCAAGAUUGACGCUCAUGCACGAAAGCGUGGGGAGCAAACAGG